CUCUCCCUGACAAGCAAGAGUGGAGGACUGGCUCCCAGGGCUAGCACCUGAAUCAGAGCCAUGCAGGGGAGUGGAGGUUCUAGGUACCAGUGUUUGUGUGCCGAGUGCCCCAGGGUAAAUGACCUUCAUGGCAGAAUCAAAACCAAGCGGUGAUCCUUUAUGGGCCGGACUCAAGGAGAGAGAGAACCCCAAGCUGAAAAUGCCAGAGUGGAAUAAUGCAGAACAUAUUAGUGCAAGAUGGUACAAUACAUUAUCUGACAGCCGCAAGAGCGUGAGUCAUGGUAAACAAACGGCAAAAUGUAAUACAAAUUCAUCAAAUGAACCUGGAAAGCACUAAUUCAAUUAGACUCUCUGCCAUUGGUGUGAAGUUGCAGUUUGUCCAUGGACAUAAUCUUUACUGGCAAAGCAGUGGUGAACAGAAGGUAACGGAGCAGACUGACAGUGCGUGCCAGCCUGCAUUUCCAUCUGGAAGUAGGUGGUCCCAAUAAUAAUAAUAUGGCAGAUGAAAGAGAAUUCCAGAGAGACUGCUCGCUUUUUUUCUAAAUAUAACAUGCUGACAUCCUGCCACCUGGGAGCACCAAGAUAUGAAAGGGACACAGAUGGAUGCAAAGCAAAACCAAAUGCCAAACAAAUGGAACAACGAAAGCUGUCAACAUUUUAUUAUUAUUUUUAUUAUUAUUUUUAGGGAACAGUAAAUGUACCAUCGAUGAUAUUAGUAUUUAGAAUCACACAAUGUCAGUCAUUUGUUGCAUUAUACUUUGUGUGUGUAAGCAGUACACAAUUCAUGGAAUCAUUUCUGAGGAAGGAUUUGGGACAGGAUAUAUUUCUGCAUCUGCAUGGCUGGUUACUGCAAAAAGAGUGAUUCCCAUGGACUUUCUGGCUAUUUUAUGCUGCUCUGGUGGUGCAAAAGCAACUAUGAACCCAGUUAAACUGUCUGGUCAAAUCCAGUUUACUGAUUGUUUACAUAGCAGAAGUGGCAAUAAGCAGCUGGCACUUACCACUGAAUCUAGCCCACUGU